rnacentral:rRNA from 1 species
GGAAGGUUUGGCACCUCGAUGUCGGCUCAUCGCAUCCUGGGGCUGAAGCAGGUCCCAAGGGUUGGGCUGUUCGCCCAUUAAAGCGGUACGCGAGCUGGGUUUAGAACGUCGUGAGACAGUUCGGUCCCUAUCCUCUGUAGCCGAAGGUGAUUUGAGGAAGGCUGUCCCUAGUACGAGAGGACCGGGACGGACGCAGCUCUCGUGUGCCAGUUGUCCUGCCAAGGGCAUGGCUGGUUAGCGACCUGCGGAAAGGAUAACCGCUGAAAGCAUCUAAGUGGGAAGCCUGUUCCAAGAUGAGAUCACCCACCGGGUAAACCGGGUAAGGCCCGUGGCAGAACACCACGUUGAUAGGCCGGAAGUGUACGCAUGGCGACAUGCUCAGCUGACCGGUACUAAUCGGCCGAGGGCUUGGUUCU